rnacentral:rRNA from 1 species
CGGAGGGUGCGAGCGUUGUCCGGAUUUAUUGGGUUUAAAGGGUGCGUAGGCGGCCGUUUAAGUCCGGGGUGAAAGCCCGCUGCUCAACAGCGGAACUGCCCUGGAUACUGGAUGGCUUGAGUACAGACGAGGUUGGCGGAAUGGACCGAGUAGCGGUGAAAUGCAUAGAUACGGUCCAGAACCCCGAUUGCGAAGGCAGCUGACUAGGCUGUUACUGACGCUGAGGCACGAAAGCGUGGGGAGCGAACAGGAUU